ensembl:rRNA 5S_rRNA 5S ribosomal RNA
GUCUACAGCCAUGCCACCCUGAACAAGCCUGAUCUCGACCGAUCUAAGAAGCUAAGCAGGGUUGGGCCUGGUUAGUAUUUGGAUGGGAGACCAUUUAGAAAGAACAGGUGCUGUAAGCA